CGCCCGGGGAAACGGAGGAAAACACAAAUAACAUCGAGGAAGAAAGAACAGCCUGCAGAGCUGCCCGAGCCAUUGCCCUGCCCGCAGCCGGGAGCAGCCAGCAGGAGGAGGCAGCUGCUUUCUCAGCCAGAAAGGACUGGGACUCUCCUUUUUGCCCCGGGAGCUCAGGGCUGGCCCGAGCCUGUGGCCUCUCCCGCAGAGAUUCAGCUGUGGGGAAGCUGCAGAGAAGGCUGCCUGGCACAGCCCCCCAAAAUGGGCCUCCUCCGACUGGGCUCCCGCAGAGGAUGGGGCAGUUGCAGCCCCCUGUCAUUCCUGUGAGAUUUGGUAAGUCUGGGGAGGGGUUUCCUGACUGUCCCUGUCUCCAAGCGAGCCGUGCCUCGUUGUCCAGAAGCCCACAGGGGUCGGCUGCAGUCCUUAAGAGCAGUGCCUGCUUUCACCACUGCCUUUUGCUGCCUGCAGAGAUCUGUGCUGAGGGUUGGCAGCUCCUGCUGGGGCAAGAGCUGCAUCUUCCAAGAGGCAAAGCUGCAGCAUCUUCCUCCCCAGGGACUGUCUCCAUGCAGGAAGCAGCACAGGGGACUGGCCGAGGGGCUCGGGCUGGGACACGGCCCCAACAGGAGCAGCCCUGGCACACUGACACGGGAGGAUGAGCCCAGGUGAGGAGCACGGCCCCAGAGUGGCACCAAGACAAGCAUCUCCUGUGGGUUAUGUGGGGCUGUGCUGUGCACCCUGGGGGUGCUGACUGACCCCCUUUGUGCCGAGACAGAGGAGAUGCUGCUGCACCACGUCCCCAGGAGAGCCCCUGCCUCCUUCUGCUCUCAGGGAUGGGACUGGGAGACGCCUCCACGCCGAGAGUGGCACUUGGCAUGGCUUCAGUCCCCAGUGGAAGAGGCUGGGCUCCCCGCUGCCCAGAGCUCCUGGUUAGGGACACCCACGCCUGCGCCUGGCUCAGAGUCCAGGCUGCACUCAGUCCGGAUCCAGCCUCGAGAUGUUCCUGCUGCAGCUGCAGGUGUUUCCCAGUCCAGCUCGCUGAACCUCCAGCUCUGACUGUGGCACGUUCUUCCUUCCAGCUCUGGCUCUGAGAUGCUGCACUUGAUGGCUGCUCCAGUUCCUUCCAGCUCUGGUGUUGGUUUUUUCAAGCACCAUUACAAGGAGAUGCUGGAGGGCACCAAGACCCCCGGGGUGCCCCAGGACUGAGUGGAAGGAGCCCAAAAAUUUUGGGCACCCCACCCCCCCAAAUAAUUAAAUUCACAUGGAAGCUUCCCCUGUGUUUGUGUGGAGUUUUUGGAAAUUAUUUUGGAAUUUUUUAGGGGGGGGUUUGGGAAACUGGGGAGGAGGAAAAAUAA